rnacentral:lncRNA from 1 species
AUGGGAAAAGCUGGGAAAAAAAAAGGGAAAAGAGUGGGAAAAACGCUGCCUCUGCCUGCUGGGUCCUGGGAAAAACGGGAAUUGCAUCCCCAAAAAAAAACGGGAAUUUGGAUCCCGAAAAACGGGAACUCGGAUCCCGAAAAAUGGGAGCUCAGAAUCCCAAAAAACGGGAAUUUGGAUCCCGAAAAAUGGACUUUGGAUGCUGGGAAGACGGACCUGGAGUCCUGGGAAAAGGAGGGACUUUGGAUCCCGAAAAAUGGGAUUUGGAUCCCAAAAAAUGGGAAUUUGGAUCCCAAAAAUUGGGACUUUGCAUCCUGGGAAGACGGACCUCAGGUCCAGGGAAAAAUGGGAUUUUGGAUCCCAAAAAAUGGGAUUUGGAUCCCAGGAAAAAGGACUGGUGAGUCCAAGGAAAAGGGACCUGGAGUCCUGGGAGAAAAUGGGAUUUUGGAUCCCAAAAAAAGGGAUUUUGGAUCCCAAAAAAUGGGAUUUGGAUCCCAGGAAAAAGGACUUUGGAUCCUGGGGAAAUCCUGGGAAAAGGGACGCGGAUCACAGGAAGAAAAGGACGUUGAGUCCAGGGAAAAAUGGGAUUUUGGAUCCCAAAAAAAUGGGAUUUGGAUCCCAAAAAAUGGGAAUUUGGAUCCCACGAAGAUGGACCUCGGGUCCAGGGAAAAACGGGAUUUUGGAUCCCAAAAAAUGGGAUUUGGAUCCCGGGGAAAAGUGACCCUAAAUCCUGGGAAAAAUGGGAUUUGGAUCCCAAGAAAAAUGGGAUUUUGGAGCCCAAGAAGAAGGAUUUUGGAUCCUGGGAAGAUGGACCUGGAGUCCUGGGAAAAUGGGAUUUGGAUCCCAAAAAAUGGGAUUUGGAUCCCACGAAGAUGGACCUCAGGUCCAGGGAAAAAUGGGAUUUGGAUCCCAAAAAAAGGACUUUGGAUCCUGGGGAAAAAUGGGAUUUACAUCCCAAAAAAUGGGAUUUACAUCCCAAAAAAUGGGACUUUGGAAUCCAAGGAAAAAGGAUUUUGGAUCCUGGGAAGACGGACCUGGAGUCCUGGGAAAAUGGGA